rnacentral:rRNA from 1 species
UGCCAGACUCCUACGGGAGGCAGCAGUGGGGAAUAUUGCACAAUGGGGGAAACCCUGAUGCAGCAACGCCGCGUGAGUGAGGAAGUAUUUCGGUAUGUAAAGCUCUAUCAGCAGGGAAUAGAAAAGAAGGUACCUGAAAAAGAAGCCCCGGCUAACUACGUGCCAGCAGCCGCGGUAAUACGUAGGGGGCAAGCGUUAUCCGGAAUUACUGGGUGUAAAGGGAGCGUAGGCGGGGAUGCAAGUUGGGUGUCAAAACUACCGGCUCAACUGGUAGUCGCACUCAAAACUGCAGCUCUUGAGUGAAGUAGAGGCAGGCGGAAUUCCUAGUGUAGCGGUGAAAUGCGUAGAUAUUAGGAGGAACACCGGUGGCGAAGGCGGCCUGCUGGACGACGACUGACGCUGAGGCUCGAAAGCGUGGGGAGCAAACAGGAUUAGAUACCCCUGUA